GGAAGUAAAAGUCGUAACAAGGUAUCUGUAGGUGAACCUGCAGAUGGAUCAUUU
rnacentral:rRNA from 2 species